AAACAAAACUUGUUUUAAUGGAUCUCUUGGUUCUGGCAUCGAUGAAGAACGCAGCGAAAUGCGAUAAGUAAUGUGAAUUGCAGAAUUCAGUGAAUCAUCGAAUCUUUGAACGCACAUUGCACCCGGUGGUAUUCCGCCGGGUAUGCCUGUUCGAGCGUCUG
rnacentral:rRNA from 1 species